rnacentral:misc_RNA from 1 species
AAGCUUAUCAGGAAGUUACUAUUUCAAACCAGCACAAUAAUUCAGGAUUUACAGCUUUUGCUAAUGCGUCUUUACCUAGAGAAGGCCACCCUUACCCAGCUAAUUGGCCUUAUCCGCUCAUUGGAGAAAACGUGGCCCCGUGUACCACCCAGAAAAAGUUUUUGUGUGACAAGACUCUGUGGCGCAUCCCAUUCUCUAGCAAUUUUAUGUCAAUGGGCUCGCUCACUGACUUGGGGCAAAACUUGUUGUACGCUAACGCCGCUCAUGCGCUAGACAUGACUUUUGAAGUGGAUGCUAUGGAUGAACCUACAUUGCUGUAUGUGCUGUUUGAGGUAUUUGAUGUUGUGCGCGUGCAUCAACCACACAGGGGCGUCAUUGAAACCGUGUACCUGAGAACUCCGUUCUCUGCUGGCAACGCCACUACAUAAUCGCCGCGAUGGGCUCCAUGGAAGAAGAGUUGCGAGCUAUUGUUCGCGACUUAGGCAUAAGUCCUUACUUUUUAGGAACUUUUGACAAGCGCUUCCCAGGUUUCUUGCAUAGAGAUAAACUGAGUUGCGCGAUUGUGAAUACAGCGGCCCGCGAGACCGGUGGGGCCCACUGGCUGGCGCUAGCUUGGUUUCCAAAUGCUAAAAACUUUUACUUUUUUGACCCAUUUGGGUUUUCUGACCAUAAACUUAAACAGAUUUAUCAGUUUGAAUAUGAAGGCUUGUUGCGCCGAAGCGCGCUAGCGGGCGAUGGCUGUGUAAAUUUAGUGAAAAGCACUGAAACAGUUCAAGGGCCAAACAGCGCCGCCUGUGGGUUGUUUUGUUGCAUGUUUUUGCACGCUUUUGUAAAUUGGCCAGACCGCCCAAUGAGCCGCAACCCCACAAUGGAUUUGCUAACUGGGGUACCUAAUGCUGAUAUGAUGAAACCGUCGUCGCUUGCGAUUUUAAGAGAAAACCAAAAUCAGCUGUAUAAAUUUUUGUCAUCCCACUCCCCAUACUUUCGCGCUCACCGCCCCCAGAUUGAACGCGAUACCUCUUUUAAUAAACUGCUAGAACUCAAAAAUCAAUA